rnacentral:tRNA from 1 species
UACACUUUAAUAUAGGAUGUAUAUUAACUUUUGAUGUUAAAAGAGACAGUUUAACCUGUCAUGUGUAAU